UGUUUUCCAGCUUUUGGUCGUUGUAGAGCAAUGCUGAGGACGUGGAUUAAUAAUGAUCUUGAAAUUCUUGAACUGCUUGAAGUCUGUCGGUGACUGGUUUUCUUUAUUUCUGCUAUCAUCCAUGCCUGUCUGAUAGGUGAAACCUUCUGAUUUCUUUUGUUAUUGCUCUGUAUUAUGCAAAGCCGUGCAAUUUGGACAACUAUUUACAUGCUUUAUUCAAUCUAAUCCGAGUUGUAGUCUCUUGGUAGAAUAAAACUAGGAGUUGCAGUUGGGAAAAUUCGAGUUCACAGAUAGCUGGCUGCCACUCAAUUCUAGACUCCACAGUAUGUGAAUUCAUCAGUGCGUUUAACUAUUUUUGUAACCAAUGGCACCUUAUGGUAGUUCAUCCUUGGAUUGAGAAAUGCGAUCUCUAAGGUGAAAAGGCCAACUGCAUGGUGUGUAUAUAUAGUUGUAUAUUGUGUUAUAUUAGUUGAUUGGUAGUGAUUGAUUCACCUUCCAUAUUAGUAUAUAUACUCUCCUCCUAUAUUUAAGAGCUCAAUGUAGUAGGUUAAAUAUACAAUAAUAUACACACAGCUUAUUCUCUCUCUACAAUAUAUCAACAUGGUAUCAAACUAAUAAUUUUUUUUUUCUUCUUUUCUUCUGUUCAUCACCAGAAUACAUCAUCUUGUUUCUGGUUUUCACUUUUGGGUACUAAUUGCACACUGUCAGGCUAUCUUGUUCACUAUUUUACUCCGAAAAUAUUAUCACCUUGCUCGGAAUUUCCUUACGAUUCCAACGCCACCAAAAUCAUUGUCAACAAAUUACUCACGUGCCCUCACGCGCCGCCUCUGUUGUUGCGCGUCAUUGGCUUUCGUCACCACUCGCCCACGCGCUUGCAUGCACAUCUCUGUGUAUCCCUGACGUCAACCUCUCCGUGUUGACAUCAGCCCUAAACUACUUCCAUCAGCUAAUUUUGUUAGCCGCCGCUCUAUGCUAGCCGCCUGACCAAGCCGACUAACGUUCGCCUAAUAUCAGUCCUUUCUACUGUGCAUCCAGUCCUCACUUGCUAACUUAUUGAUGAUGGUUCUCUCAUGUCUGUGAGUCAUAUUGGUUUUGUUUCUACAUCUCAUUUGUCCUUAUCCUAUGCUUAUCUUAUUCUUGCUCUCACUUUAAACCUUAUUUCCAUUAGUCAGCUAUAUGAAUAUGGUCUAACUGUCACCUUUUCUAGUAAUGGUUGUUUGGUGCAGGACCCUUAAAGGGGACAGACCCUUGGGAUUGACCAUAAGCAUAGACGUUUCUAUGAGCUCAUUCAUCUUCAUGUUCCAAUCUCCACUCCAUUGGUUGCCCCUACAUUUGCCUCAUCCUCAUCUACCUCUACCUUAUCACGUUUUCAUCUUUGGCAUUGUCGUUUAGGUCAUAUUUAUGUUAGUCGGUUGAAAUAUUUAAUUUCUAGUGGUCAGUUAGGUCCUGUCUCUUCAGACACUUUAGAUUGUUUAUCUUGUCAACUUGCCAACAACCGGCUUUAUCCUUUAAUGAAAGUAAUUAUGUUUUUUGUGCUC